AUGUUGGUUUGUCUCCUAAUUUACCUAACAAAAAUAUUAGGCUUAGCAAUUAACAUUUUCUUACAAACUUUAAUAACCAAAUCAAAUUUUGAAAAAUCAUUUAUCCUAGAACUUAACACAAAAAUAACCGACUAACAAUCUAUAAAAAUACAUCUAGCAAAAGUAGUGUUAUCUUUGAGCCAUGAGAGACAUUCUCUAAGAGUUAAAGCUUCCACAAGGAUAGGAUCUCUA
rnacentral:lncRNA from 1 species